CCCUGCAACAAUCCCUAGCCAAGAAGAACAAGAACCAUCAACCACCAGUUCAGAAAAAUGAUAAUGAGGACACUGAAUCAGGAUCCAGUCCAGGAUCAGUUUGCACCUAAUUCAGGAGACCAGGCAGCGUUCUCUCAACCACAGGGUGGCACUGCUCACUGUAAAACAACAAACAGAGCCGUCAGUAUAUGGAGAGGCUGAAUUUAAUCUAUGGUCACUACUGAGCUGAUGAGUCUUCCAGUUAGA